rnacentral:rRNA from 1 species
GAGCACGUAGGUGGGUUUGUCGCGUCUGCUGUGAAAUCCCGAGGCUCAACCUCGGGCUUGCAGUGGGUACGGGCAGACUAGAGUGCGGUAGGGGAGAUGGGAAUUCCUGGUGUAGCGGUGGAAUGCGCAGAUAUCAGGAGGAACACCGAUGGCGAAGGCAGAUCUCUGGGCCGUAACUGACGCUGAGGAGCGAAAGGGUGGGGAGCAAACAGGCUUAGAUACCCUGGUAGUCCACCCCGUAAACGUUGGGAACUAGUUGUGGGGUCCUUUCCACGGAUUCCGUGACGCAGCUAACGCAUUAAGUUCCCCGCCUGGGGAGUACGGCCGCAAGGCUAAAACUCAAAGGAAUUGACGGGGACCCGCACAAGCGGCGGAGCAUGCGGAUUAAUUCGAUGCAACGCGAAGAACCUUACCAAGGCUUGACAUACACGAGAACGGGCCAGAAAUGGUCAACUCUUUGGACACUCGUGAACAGGUGGUGCAUGGUUGUCGUCAGCUCGUGUCGUGAGAUGUUGGGUUAAGUCCCGCAACGGGCGCAACCCUCGUUCUAUGUUGCCAGCACGUAAUGGUGGGAACUCAUGGGAUACUGCCGGGGUCAACUCGGAGGAAGGUGGGGAUGACGUCAAAUCAUCAUGCCCCUUAUGUCUUGGGCUUCACGCAUGCUACAAUGGCCGGUACAAUGGGCUGCAAUAUCGCUAUGAGCGAGAAGCGAAGUA